rnacentral:tRNA from 1 species
AGAGGUCAUCCGGCCGGAUCAGGAGCAUCACUCGAAAUGAUGUAGUACGCCCAAAAGUGUAUUAGGGGUUCGAGUCCCCUGGCCUCUG